UGACCUCAAAUCAGGUAGGACUACCCGCUGAACUUAAGCAUAUCAAUAAGCGGAGGAAAAGAAACUAACAAGGAUUCCCCUAGUAACUGCGAGUGAAGCGGGAAAAGCUCAAAUUUAAAAUCUGACAGUCUUUGGCUGUCCGAGUUGUAGUCUGGAGAAGCGUUU
rnacentral:rRNA from 1 species